rnacentral:rRNA from 1 species
AUUGAACGCUGGCGGCAGGCCUAACACAUGCGAGUCGAGCGGAUGAAGGGAGCUUGCUCCUGGAUUCAGCGGCGGACGGGUGAGUAAUGCCUAGGAAUCUGCCUGGUAGUGGGGGAUAACGUCCGGAAACGGGCGCUAAUACCGCAUACGUCCUGAGGGAGAAAGUGGGGGAUCUUCGGACCUCACGCUAUCAGAUGAGCCUAGGUCGGAUUAGCUAGUUGGUGGGGUAAAGGCCUACCAAGGCGACGAUCCGUAACUGGUCUGAGAGGAUGAUCAGUCACACUGGAACUGAGACACGGUCCAGACUCCUACGGGAGGCAGCAGUGGGGAAUAUUGGACAAUGGGCGAAAGCCUGAUCCAGCCAUGCCGCGUGUGUGAAGAAGGUCUUCUGAUUGUAAAGCACUUUAAGUUGGGAGGAAGGGCAGUAAGUUAAUACCUUGCUGUUUUGACGUUACCAACAGAAUAAGCACCGGCUAACUUCGUG